UACGUAGGGUGCAAGCGUUGUCCGGAAUUAUUGGGCGUAAAGAGCUCGUAGGCGGUCUGUCGAGUCGGAUGUGAAAACCCAGGGCUCAACCCUGGGCCUGCAUUCGAUACGGGCAGACUAGAGUUCGGUAGGGGAGACUGGAAUUCCUGGUGUAGCGGUGAAAUGCGUAGAUAUCAGGAGGAACACCAGUGGUGUAGACGGCGUUCUGGACGAGUACUGACGCUGAGAUACGAAAGCGUGGGGAGCAAACAGG
rnacentral:rRNA from 1 species